rnacentral:miRNA from 2 species
AUUUACAGUCAUAUACAGUUUAUA